rnacentral:lncRNA from 1 species
GACUCGUCUUGUCGUGCUAAGUGUGUGCAGGAACAAACAAUCGGCGGAGGCCCACAAGCAGAGAAAGGUGGAACCUCCGAUCCUCCCAAGUCCGAGGAUGGCUGAGGACGCGGCGGAGGUAAGGAACCUCCGACGCGCCCAGCCUGAGGGACCUCCGACGGAGAAGCGUCGAAGGAUCGGCAACCGAGCGAGCCAAGGAACCUCUAGGACAGCUGAGCCGAGGAACCCCCGACGCGUCCGAGCUUAGGAACCUCCGACACAUGAAGUGUCGAAGGAUCCGCGACCGGGCGGAGGAUCCAAGCCUCCGACCGGCUGAAACCCUAGACAGGGGACACGCGUGGGGUUUGUAAUGCGAAAUUACACGAGUGACUUGGAGUCGGUAGACUGUAAUAGGAGAAUAUGCUGGGAUAUUCCCCCACCGUCACGGGGCAUUUUUGUAAAUGUC